AUACAGAGACUGCAAGCGUUAUUCGGAUUCACUGGGCGUAAAGGGUGCGCAGGCGGUCGUGUGUGUUAGAUGUGAAAGCCCGGGGCUCAACCUCGGAAUUGCGUUUAAAACUACACGACUAGAGCAUUGGAGCGGGAAGCGGAAUUCAUGGUGUAGCAGUGAAAUGCGUAGAUAUCAUGAGGAACACCAGAGGCGAAGGCGGCUUCCUGGACAAUUGCUGACGCUCAGGCACGAAAGCGUGGGUAGCGAAAGGGAUUAGAAACCCUAGUAGUCC
rnacentral:rRNA from 1 species